rnacentral:rRNA from 1 species
CGAUUUGCUGGGCUGUAACUGACGCUGAGGUACGAAAGCGUGGGUAGCAAAUAGGAUUAGAUACCCUAGUAGUCCACGCUGUAAACGAUGAGCACUAAGUGUCGGGUUACCGGUGCUGAAGUUAACACAUUAAGUGCUCCGCCUGAGUAGUACGGUCGCAAGACUGAAACUCAAAGGAAUUGACGGGCACCCGCACAAGCGGUGGAGCAUGUUGUUUAAUUCGAAAAUACGCGAAGAACCUUACCUAGGCUUGACAUCCCUGGCAAAGCUAUAGAAAUAUAGUGGAGGUUAUCCAGGUGACAGGUGGUGCAUGGUUGUCGUCAGCUCGUGUCGUGAGAUGUUCAGUUAAGUCUGCUAACGAGCGCAACCCUUGUCGAUAGUUGCUAACAUUUAGUUGAGAACUCUAUCGAGACUGCCGGUAUUAAACCGGAGGAAGGUGGGGAUGACGUCAAAUCAUCAUGCCCCUUACGUCUAGGGCAACAGGCGUGCUACAAUGGCUGGUACAAUGAGUCGCAAAACCGCGAGGUGGAGCUAAUCUCCAAAGCCAGUCUCAGUUCGGAUUGAAGUCUGCAACUCGACUUCAUGAAGCUGAAAUCGCUAGUAAUCCCGGAUCAGAAUGCCGGGGUGAAUACGUUCUCGGGUGUUGUACACACCGCCCGUCACGGCAUGGGAGUCAAUAAUAUCCGAAGCCGGUAGCCUAACCCGAAAGGGAGGGGGCCGUCGAAGAUAGGAUUGGUGACUGGGCUGAAGUCGUAACAAGGUAUCCCUACCGGAAGGUGGGGAUG